rnacentral:rRNA from 1 species
GAGAGUUAAACAGUACGUGAAAUUGUUGAAAGGGAAACGAUUGAAGCCAGUCGUACCUUCGGGUAAUCAGCCUUUCGGGUGCGAUUCUGUGGAGUUUGAGGAGCUUAACACCUUCAUGCUUUUGCAUAUUCGUGCUCUUGGGUGUACUUGCCCGUGUGGUUGGUUAACAUCAAUUUCGGGCACCAUAAAAUGGCUGGAGGAAUGUAGCUUCGAUCUUGUAUUGAAGUGUUAUAGCCUUCGGUAGAUGUGGUGAUCGAGAUUGAGGAUUGCAACGGAUACCUUUCGGGGCUACCUGUCUGAUCUCUGAUCGUUGCUUUGUUGCUGAAAGCGUGCUUAUAGUUAUCAAAGUCGAUGGUCAAUAGGUUAGAAUGGGUUAAAUUCGUUAAGGAUGUUGACGUAAUGGCUUUAAACGA